rnacentral:rRNA from 1 species
AUUGUUAUUUUUAUUUUUUUAUUACUUAUUUAAUUUCUAUUUUAUUUAUUUUAGUAUAUAUUUUAAAUAAAUUUUAAUUUAUAACUGUAAAGGUUAAUAUUUUUUAUUUUGGAAUUAUUGUUAGUACCUUUUGUAUCAGGGUUAUUUAAUUAUUUUAUGUAUAUUAUUAUCCCGAAAUAAAAAUAUUUAAUUUUAUUUGAUUUUACUUAUAACAUAAAGUUUAUUAAAUUAAUUUUGGUAAUUAAAAGUUAUUCGUUUUUUAUUAUAUCUGGUUAAUCAGGAUUUAAUUUAAUUAUAGACUGAUUGUUAUUAACUUUUUUAAUUUUUUUUAGUCUUAUUAAUAAUACUGGAUAAUCUGUAUUUUUUAUUAAAAUUUUAUAUAAUUUAAACUUACUUUUUUUAAAAUCUUAAAUUUAGUUCAUAACAGAUUAGUUUAGUUAAAUUAAUAUUUCAUUUUAUUUAAUUUUUUACUGAUUAUAUUUAUUUAAUACUUAUAUAUUUUUUAUAAUGAGUAAAUUAGUAUAAUUUUAAAUUUAUUUAUAUGAAUUCAACAUAUAUAAUUUUCAGCUGUUUAUCAAAAACAUUUCUUUUAGUUUAUAUUAAAGGUAAUUUCUGCCCAAUGAUUGAAUUUAAAUGGCUGCAGUAUUUUGACUGUACAAAGGUAGCAUAAUAAUUAGUUUUUUAAUUGAGGACUAGAAUGAAGGAUAAAAUGAAAAAUUAAUUUUAUUUAAAUAAUUAUUAAAAUUUAAUUUUUGAGUUAAAAAGCUUAAUUUUAUUAUGGGGACGAUAAGACCCUAUAGAACUUUAUAAUUAAAAAUUUAAUUUUGGUUGUCUAUUUUUUUUUAAUUAUUUAAUUGGGGUGAUUGAUAAAUUUAAUUAACUUUAUUUUUUAAUUUCAGUAAUUUCUGUGUUAUUGUUCCAUUUUGUAAUGACUAUAAGUUUUAGUUACCUUAGGGAUAACAGCGUAAUUUUAAUGGGGAGUUCAUAUCUAUAUUAAAGUUUGCGACCUCGAUGUUGAAUUAAGAUUAAAUUAAGGGGUAGGUUCUUUAAACUUUAAGUCUGUUCGACUUUUAAAUUCUUACAUGAUUUGAGUUCAAACCGGUGUAAGCCAGGUUGGUUUCUAUCUUAUAAAUUUAUAUUAAUUUAGUACGAAAGGACCAGUUAAUUCAAUAAUUGAUUGUCAUUU